CCUACGGGAGGCAGCAGUAGGGAAUCUUCCGCAAUGGACGAAAGUCUGACGGAGCAACGCCGCGUGAACGAUGAAGGCCUUCGGGUCGUAAAGUUCUGUUGUUAGGGAAGAACAAGUGCUAGUUGAAUAAGCUGGCACCUUGACGGUACCUAACCAGAAAGCCACGGCUAACUACGUGCCAGCAGCCGCGGUAAUACGUAGGUGGCAAGCGUUGUCCGGAAUUAUUGGGCGUAAAGCGCGCGCAGGCGGUUUCUUAAGUCUGAUGUGAAAGCCCCCGGCUCAACCGGGGAGGGUCAUUGGAAACUGGGAAACUUGAGUGCAGAAGAGGAAAGUGGAAUUCCAAGUGUAGCGGUGAAAUGCGUAGAGAUUUGGAGGAACACCAGUGGCGAAGGCGACUUUCUGGUCUGUAACUGACGCUGAGGCGCGAAAGCGUGGGGAGCAAACAGGAUUAGAUACCCUGGUAGUCCACGCUGUAAACGAUGAGUGCUAAGUGUUAGAGGGUUUCCGCCCGUUUAGUGCUGAAGUUAACGCAUUAAGCACUCCGCCUGGGGAUACGGUCGCAAGACUGAAACUCAAAUGAAUUGACGG
rnacentral:rRNA from 1 species